rnacentral:rRNA from 2 species
UAAUACGGGAUGCUGCUGACGGUAUCUGCAGGAUAAGCACCGGCUAACUACGUGCCAGCAGCCGCGGGUAAUACGUAGGGUGCAAGCGUUAAUCGGAAAUUACUGGGCGUAAAGCGUGUGUAGGCGGUUCGGAAAGAAAGAUGUGAAAUCCCAGGGCUCAACCUUGGAACUGCAUUUUUAACUGCCGAGCUAGAGUAUGUCAGAGGGGGGUAGAAUUCCACGUGUAGCAGUGAAAUGCGUAGAUAUGUGGAGGAAUACCGAUGGCGAAGGCAGCCCCCUGGGAUAAUACUGACGCUCAGACACGAAAGCGUGGGGAGCAAACAGGAUUAGAUACCCUGGUAGUCCACGCCCUAAACGAUGUCAACUAGCUGUUGGGGCCGUUAGGCCUUAGUAGCGCAGCUAACGCGUGAAGUUGACCGCCUGGGGAGUACGGUCGCAAGAUUAAAACUCAAAGGAAUUGACGGGGACCCGCACAAGCGGUGGAUGAUGUGGAUUAAUUCGAUGCAACGCGAAAAACCUUACCUACCCUUGACAUGUCUGGAAAGCCGAAGAGAUUUGGCCGUGCUCGCAAGAGAACCGGAACACAGGUGCUGCAUGGCUGUCGUCAGCUCGUGUCGUGAGAUGUUGGGUUAAGUCCCGCAACGAGCGCAACCCUUGUCAUUAGUUGCUACGCAAGAGCACUCUAAUGAGACUGCCGGUGACAAACCGGAGGAAGGUGGGGAUGACGUCAAGUCCUCAUGGCCCUUAUGGGUAGGGCUUCACACGUCAUACAAUGGUCGGGACAGAGGGUCGCCAACCCGCGAGGGGGAGCCAAUCUCAGAAACCCGAUCGUAGUCCGGAUCGCAGUCUGCAACUCGACUGCGUGAAGUCGGAAUCGCUAGUAAUCGCGGAUCAGAAUGUCGCGGUGAAUACGUUCCCGGGUCUUGUACACACCGCCCGUCACACCAUGGGAGUGGGUUUCACCAGAAGUAGGUAGCCUAACCGUAAGGAGGGCGCUACCACGGGGAUCAAGU